rnacentral:rRNA from 1 species
GACGAACGCUGGCGGCGUGCUUAACACAUGCAAGUCUACGAGAACGAGGUAGCAAUAUCUUUAGUAAAGUGGCGCACGGGUGCGUAACACGUAAGCAAUCUACCUUUGGGUCUGGAAUAACUUCGAGAAAUCGAGGCUAAUACCGGAUAAUGCAGCGGCACCGCAUGGUGAUGUUGUUAAAGUUUAAGUAAUGCCUAUAGAUGAGCUUGCGUCUGAUUAGCUAGUUGGUAGGGUAAAGGCCUACCAAGGCAACGAUCAGUAGCUGGUCUGAGAGGAUGAUCAGCCACACUGGAACUGAGACACGGUCCAGACUCCUACGGGAGGCAGCAGUGAGGAAUAUUGGGCAAUGGGCGAAAGCCUGACCCAGCAACGCCGCGUGGAGGAUGAAGGCCGUAAGGUUGUAAACUCCUGUUAGAGGAGAAGAACAGUACCGAUUGGAUCGGUAUUUG